rnacentral:rRNA from 1 species
CCUACGGGUGGCAGCAGUGAGGAAUAUUGGUCAAUGGACGAAAGUCUGAACCAGCCAAGCCGCGUGAAGGAUGACGGCCCUAUGGGUUGUAAACUUCUUUUAUAUGGGGAUAAAAGGUGCUACGUGUUGCAGGUUGUAUGUAUCAUAUGAAUAAGGAUCGGCUAACUCCGUGCCAGCAGCCGCGGUAAUACGGAGGAUCCGAGCGUUAUCCGGAUUUAUUGGGUUUAAAGGGGGCGUAGGUGGAUUGUUAAGUCCGAGGUGAAAGUUUGCGGCUCAACCUUAAGAUUGUCGUUGAAACUGGUAGUCUAGAGAACAGUAGGGGUAGGCGGAAUUUGUGGUGUAGCGGUGAAAUGCUUAGAUAUCAGAAAGAACACCGAUUGCGAAGGCAGCUUACUGGACUGCAACUGACACUGAGGCACGAAAGCGUGGGUAGCAAACAGGAUUAGAUACCCGUGUAGUC